ensembl:lncRNA
CUGCAAGCUGGUUCUGGAGAGAGCCCUUAGCAAGACGAUGCUCCCCGUUAAUGUGGCUCAGCGCGUUGCUUCCAAUCAUUAGUGACGCCUUGUAUCUGAGCGAAGUGGAGGAACACUGGUGAGAGCAGACAGUCCUUUUGUUUUGCUGCACUGAUUAGAAUCCACCAAGAAAGCACGAGAAGGGAAGGAAGUGUUGUAGGUGUUCAGAAAGAAAAAUGCAAAGCACAAUGCAAUAGACUAAAUAUUUGAACAAUGCCUGCAGACGCACAGGAAUGCCAUCUAGGGAUGACGAAGGAAAGCGAUCCGGCUUUCAGGGGAAGUUCUCAGCAGUCCACUGUAUUUUGACUGGAAUGAGUCAGAUAACACGGUGCAUAAUUUUCUAUGUUUAUAUAAUUAUUUUAGUGAAUUUGUCGGCCUGUUAGAGCUUUGUUAUUCAGAGACGUUUGCUCUAAAAUGCCAUUGUGUCUGGUGGUCUGAAUGAGGCACACACUGUAUCCAACAGAUAUUAAUAUAUCCACUAAAGGCCAUCGCUGAAACAGCUCUGUGAAACAUGCUAUAAAUACUAGGAGGCUUAAAAAAAAGAGGGAAAUGGCCUCCACACACCUGUAGUCCAUUAUUCCCACUGCGUGCUGUAUCUCCUCUAACAGACUCGUCAAUUAGCUCAGUGGGAGUUCUCACACGCACAGUUGAUCUCAUUGUGUAUUUAUAUUCAUUUGUAACAACUUUUAUUACAAAUUAUAGUACGUGAUUGGCACCAGAUGCCAUUUUUGCCCUUAAUAACCCAGCUAGAUGAAUCCCAAAAGACCUUUUUUCAUUCAUGUGAAGAGGAUAUAAUAAAAGGUUUUUCUUGCAAAAAUCCCAAAACACAUCAGAUAGCAGCUGUAGAUAACUAUUAUUUUAUUUCUAUGUUUUCCCUUACGGUGUUCCUUUUAAGUUGAAGUCUUGUUCUGCCACCCUUUUGGAUUCGGUGCCUGUCAACGCCAUCGCAGGUCGACUCAGCCUGUGUGUAAUCUCCCUGCAGGCGACUCCUCGGAGCCAAUAAAAACUUGUCCCCCUGGCAACCGAAGAGCUCGGCCCGGCGAAGCUGCACAAACAGGGUCCAGAGCCGAGGAGGCCCAGGACCACCGCAAAGACCCACAGUAGUCUGCCCUCUCCUGUUAUUGUGUCCGUCUCAGCUUUGGAGUCUUUCUGCAGCGCCGCUCGUCCGUCAGAGAUUGUGGCGACUUCCUUGAACUGAAUUCAUGUCCCACAUUUGUCUGUUUUACAGGCUUUAUGAAUACGUUUGGUGUCACGCGUGGUCCAUGUUCUGAGACACUAGCUUCCUGCCGACGGGGCUUCACCAAGCUUUGCAUGUACACGUCCAGCGUGACAUUCACAAGAU